UGGAAGUUUCAGCUAAAUCGGAUGUCUUGA
rnacentral:piRNA from 1 species